rnacentral:rRNA from 1 species
GGGUUGUGAGGUUAAGCGACUAAGCGUACACGGUGGAUGCCCUGGCAGUCAGAGGCGAUGAAGGGCGUGCUAAUCUGCGAUAAGCGCCGGUAAGGUGAUAUGAACCGUUAUAACCGGCGAUACCCGAAUGGGGAAACCCAGUGUGAUUCGUCACACUAUCAUUAACUGAAUCCAUAGGUUAAUGAGGCGAACCGGGGGAACUGAAACAUCUAAGUACCCCGAGGAAAAGAAAUCAACCGAGAUUCCCCCAGUAGCGGCGAGCGAACGGGGAGGAGCCCAGAGCCUGAAUCAGCAUGUGUGUUAGUGGAAGCGUCUGGAAAGGCGCGCGAUACAGGGUGACAGCCCCGUACACAAAAGCGCAUGUGCUGUGAGCUCGAUGAGUAGGGCGGGACACGUGGUAUCCUGUCUGAAUAUGGGGGGACCAUCCUCCAAGGCUAAAUACUCCUGACUGACCGAUAGUGAACCAGUACCGUGAGGGAAAGGCGAAAAGAACCCCGGCGAGGGGAGUGAAAAAGAACCUGAAACCGUGUACGUACAAGCAGUGGGAGCACAGGUUUACCUGUGUGACUGCGUACCUUUUGUAUAAUGGGUCAGCGACUUAUAUUCUGUAGCAAGGUUAACCGUAUAGGGGAGCCGGAGGGAAACCGAGUCUUAAUUGGGCGUUAAGUUGCAGGGUAUAGACCCGAAACCCGGUGAUCUAGCCAUGGGCAGGUUGAAGGUUGGGUAACACUAACUGGAGGACCGAACCGAC